CAGCUCUCCGAGUGGUAGGGAUGAUUAUUGGGCUUAAAGCGUCCGUAGCCGGCCCGGCAAGUCUUCCGUUAAAUCCAACGAUUCAAUCGUUGGACUGCGGGAGAUACUGUUGGGCUAGGGGGCGGAAGAGGCCGACGGUAUUCUCGGGGUAGGGGUAAAAUCCUAUAAUCCCGGGAAGACCACCAGUGGCGAAGGCGGUCGGCUAGAACGCGCUCGACGGUGAGGGACGAAAGCUGGGGGAGCGAACCGGAUUAGAUACCCGGGUAGUCCCAGCUGUAAACGAUGCGGGCUAGGUGUUGGAGCGGCUACGGGCCGCUUCAGUGCCGCAGGGAAACCAUUAAGCCCGCCGCCUGGGGAGUACGGCCGCAAGGCUGAAACUUAAAGGAAUUGGCGGGGGAGCACCACAAGGGGUGAAGCUUGCGGUUUAAUUGGAGUCAACGCCGGGAAACUUACCGGGGGCGACAGCAGGAUGAAGGCCAGAUUGAAGGUCUUGCUGGACGAGCUGAGAGGAGGUGCAUGGCCGUCGCCAGUUCGUGCCGUGAGGUGUCCUGUUAAGUCAGGCAACGAUCGAGACCCACGCCCCCUGUUGCCACUGAGGAGGUUUCUCCAAAGGGCACUCUGGGGGGACUGCCGUCGAUAAGGCGGAGGAGGGAGUGGGCCAUGGCAGGUCAGUAUGCCCCGAAUCCCCCGGGCCACACGCGAGCUGCAAUGGCUGGGACAGUGGGUUCCGACCUCGAGAGGGGGAGGUAAUCCCUAAACCCAGCCGUAGUUGGGAUCGAGGGCUGAAACCCGCCCUCGUGAACAUGGAAUCCCUAGUAAUCGCGCGUCAUCAUCGCGCGGUGAAUACGUCCCCGCUCCUU
rnacentral:rRNA from 1 species